GCGGGUAAGAACUGGAAAGCCUUUACUCAGGGUUUAGACGCCAGUUGUCCUACAGAAGCUGCCUUCAACUGUAUCACCCCAAUCAACUGUCUUACCAGCCACAAGCAGUGAAGGAGAUGGCUCGCUAUCUGAACUACUUGGCGUGGCCCUGGCUGUUGGCCCUGCUUCUCGCUCACAGUUGCACAAUAUGGGAACUAUGGAGGUGGUGGUGGUGGAGGCGAUAGACAGAUUGGACGCCCGCCUCAUAUUGACAAUGGACAAGGUUUCAUUGGUGGUGUUAAUGCUCCUAGACCAGGCUCGGUAAUAAUAACAACUCACAUACAUUAUCUUGUUAUCAGUAUUUAUACCAAACAAUUUGUUUGAUAAGAACAUGUUUUUAUUUAUGCAAAAUAUUUUCGCUUUAGAAUUCUUUAAUAAUUAUCGACUGCAAAGUGACAUUCUGUGUUAGGUGAAUACAAU